UGCUAGUUGCACGAGUUCAGACUCGUAGCGAAUAGCUCAGUAUCACGUGGCCAAACUACCCUUCGGAGCACCAUACCCUCGGGAAACUGAGGCUAAUAGUGCAUCCCGCACUCACCCUGGAAUGGCGAGUGCGUCAAACGCUCCGGCGCCGAAGGAUGUGGCUGCGGCCGAUUAGGUAGACGGUGGGGUAACGGCCCACCGUGCCGAUAAUCGGUACGGGUCAUGAGAGUGAGAACCCGGAGACGGAAUCUGAGACAAGAUUCCGGGCCCUACGGGGCGCAGCAGGCGCGAAACCUUUACACUGCACGACAGUGCGAUAAGGGGAUCCCAAGUGCACAGGCAUAGAGCCUGUGCUUUUGUACACCGUAGGGAAGUGUACGAAUAAGGGCUGGGCAAGACCGGUGCCAGCCGCCGCGGUAAUACCGGCAGCCCAAGUGAUGGCCGAUCUUAUUGGGCCUAAAGCGUCCGUAGCUGGCCGCACAAGUCCAUCGGGAAAUCCACCCGUCCAACGGGUGGCCGUCCGGUGGAAACUGUGUGGCUUGGGACCGGAAGGCGCGACGGGUACGUCCGGGGUAGGAGUGAAAUCCCGUAAUCCUGGACGGACCGCCGAUGGCGAAAGCACGUCGCGAAAACGGAUCCGACAGUGAGGGACGAAAGCUAGGGUCUCGAACCGGAUUAGAUACCCGGGUAGUCCUAGCCGUAAACAAUGCCUGCUAGGUGUGGCUCCCACUACGAGUGGGUGCUGUGCCGUA
rnacentral:rRNA from 1 species